CGAAAUCUGUGCUGAAAACAUAGGCAUUGAUGGUGUUUGAGUAAUUCCAUCUGUGAAGCUCAACAUUAGCUCAUCAGUCGGUGGUGGACAGUCAUAAAUCCUUUCUGCAGGAUGAAUGACUUUUCAGGAAAAAAACAAUUUCACAAAUCAAAACUUUCCUCCAGAUUAGUUCUUUUGGUUAAACGGGACACUGUCCUGAUUUUUAUUUUUGCAAACCAUUCAGUCUCUUGCUUGCAAAUGGUGCAUGAAAAUAGGCUGGGAAUGGCAGUAGACAUAAGUCUCUUUAAGGUGGGUUUGUGCCCU
rnacentral:lncRNA from 1 species